rnacentral:rRNA from 1 species
GAUGAACGCUGGCGGCGUGCCUAACACAUGCAAGUCGAACGGGGAGCUUAUUUCGAUAGGCUUCCAGUGGCGAACGGGUGAGUAACACGUUGGUGACCUGCCCUAAAGUGGGGGACAACUCCUCGAAAGAGGCGCUAAUACCCCGGAUGUCUGAGCGGUUAGAAGGCUCAGACUAAAGUUUUUCGGAAUGCUUUGGGAGGGCCUGCGGGCUAUCAGCUAGUUGGUGAGGUAAAGGCUCACCAAGGCGAAGACGGCUAGGGGGCGUGAGAGCGUGACCCCCCACAAGGAACUGAGAAACGGUCCCUACUCCUACGGGAGGCAGCAGUGAGGAAUAUUGAGCAAUGGCGCAAGCCUGACUCAGCAACGCCGCGUGGAUGACGAAGGCC